UACGAAGGGUGCAACCGUUGCUCGGAAUCAUUGGGCGUAAAGCGCACGUAGGCGGCGCUGUAAGUCGGACGUGAAAUCCCUCGGCUCAACCGAGGACGUGCAUCCGUAACUACAGUGCUCGAGUAUGGAAGAGGGUCGCGGAAUUCUCGGUGUAGAGGUGAAAUUCGUAGAUAUCGGGAGGAACACCAGUGGCGAAGGCGGCGACCUGGGCCAAUACUGACGCUGAGGUGCGAAAGCGUGGGGAGCAAACAGG
rnacentral:rRNA from 1 species